rnacentral:tRNA from 1 species
GGGCCAAUAGCUCAGUUGGUUAGAGCGCUGCUCUGAUAAGGCAGAGGUCGAUGGUUCAAGUCCAUCCUGGCCCACCA